CCCCACCCAGGUUCGAAGGGCCAAUCGGGGCCUCGCUGUUUUUACGCUGACGUCACGAGUGACAAUGCCCUUUGGCUCUGACCAUUCUAACAGGCUUCAGGAGUCCGGAUUUCCAAAGAGGAACGCAGAUUCAGCGAGUGGCUGCUGGCAUGUGACCUAUUUCGAUGUCAGGGCUUGGCACGUAGGCGGUUCAAUGUUGAACGAUCCAAGGUCAUGCACAUAGGGUCUCAUAGGGAAGAGAACUUCCCGCCCCUCAUGGAGCUUCUAUUUUAGAGGGAGUAUGGGAAGGGAAAAGUGAGACUUCACCAGGAAUCCAUGGAAUGUGGCCCAAAGGCCAAGGACAGAGCACCUUCCAGGACUCUCAGAGGGCAGCAGGUGCCUAGGGCUGGUUUCUACCUAUGACAGAAACCCACAGCACUGAGGAAGAAAAUCAAUCCACAUGCCUGUAUUUAAGCUUAAAUUUAUUCAAGCACUUUAGGAGGCCAAGGUGGGAGGAUCACUUGAGGCCAGGAGUUCAAGACCAGCCCGGGCAACAUGGCCAAACCCCACCUCUACAAAACAAUACAAAAAUUGGCUAGGCAAGAUGUCUCACUACUCUACUGGCCCUGUAGUUCCAGCGACUAUCAGGAGGCCGAGGUGGGAAGAUUACUUGCAUCCAGGAGGUCAAGGCUGCAGUGAGCUAUAACUGCACCACUGCUCUCGGCAUGGGCUACAGGGAAAGACUGUGUCUCAAAAAUAAAUAAAUAAAUCAGCAACUGAAUAUUUCAAAGCUGUCAAUGUGUAUUGGUUCAACCAAUAGCCACUGCCUGAUCCUUACAAUUAAAUUUUAUAACUAGCAACAACAAAAAAAGUUAAUAGACUCAAGAGGCAUAUAAGAAUCUUCUCAUGACUGGAUUUUUUCCCCCUUUGAUCAGCGAGGGACAUAAACUGAAAACUAUGGCUUGGUAUAUGUUUUUUUAAAUUACUACAUUAGAAACAGCUAUACUGGCUGGGCACGGUGGCUCACACCUAUAAUCCCAGCACUUUGGGAGGCUGAGGUGGGUGGAUCACGAGGUCAAGAGAUCGAGACCAUCUUGGUCAACAAGAUGAAACCCUGUCUCUACUAAAAAUACAAAAAUUAUUUGGGCAUGGUGGUGCGCGCCUGUAGUCCCAGCUACUCGGGAGGCUGAGGCAGGAGACUUGCUUGAACCCAGGAGGCGGAGGUUGCGGUGAGCCGAGAUCGUGCCAUUGCACUCCAGUCUGGGUA